rnacentral:rRNA from 1 species
CCUACGGGUGGCAGCAGUGGGGAAUAUUGCGCAAUGGGCGAAAGCCUGACGCAGCGACGCCGCGUGAGGGAUGAAGGUCUUCGGAUCGUAAACCUCUGUCAGCAGGGAAGAACGGUCACUGUGCUAAUCAGCCGUGAAUUGACGGUACCUGCAAAGGAAGCACCGGCUAACUCCGUGCCGGCAGCCUCGGUAAUACGGAGGGUGCGAGCUUUAAUCGGAAUUACUGGGCGGAAAGCGCUCGUAGGCGGUAUGUCAAGUCAAGGGUGAAAUCCCCGCGAUCCACGUGGGAACUGCCUUUGAAACUGGCAAACUGGAGUGUGUGAGAGGAUAGUGGAAUUCAAGGUGUAGGAGUGAAAUACGUAGAUAUCUGGAGGAACAUCAGUGGCGAAGGCGACUAUCUGGCACAUAACUGACGCUGAGGAGCGAAAGCGUGGGUAGCAAACAGGAUUAGAUACCCGUGUAGUC